rnacentral:rRNA from 1 species
UACGAAGGGGGCUAGCGUUGCUCGGAUUGACUGGGCGUAAAGGGCGCGUAGGCGGAUAGUACAGUCAGGCGUGAAAUUCCUGGGCUCAACCUGGGGGGCUGCGUUUAUACGUAUUGUCUGGAGUUCGGAAGAGGGUCGUGGAAUUCCCAGUGUAGAGGUGAAAUUCGUAGAUAUUGGGAAGAACACCGGUGGCGAAGGCGGCGACCUGGUCCGAUACUGACGCUGAGGAGCGAAAGCGUGGGGAGCGAACAGG